rnacentral:misc_RNA from 1 species
CCCCUCCUGCAAACAAUCGAACGUCCGUGACACCCAAAGUCAUCGAUGCUUAAGGUCCCUAUUACAGAGUUUGGGCACUACACACAGGUCCGAUCAAACAGAACAGCCACUAGAGACCGAUACCUUGGUCAAAGUAGUGAUGCAAUUGGUUUGUGAUUAUGAGGACUCUGAAAACUUUAUCGAUGCGUCCAUUUAGUCACAUUUUCAACCGAAUUAUUUUGAUCCUGUGCAUUCUCGAUAUUGGGACUGUUUUCAGUAAAGAAAUUUAUGUCUCUCGCUGUCAUGGUAACAGCCAGCCUUCUUGUGGUGGAACAAUGAAGACAGCAUGUAAAUUGAUUGCUCUUGGUAUUGCACAUGCGCAGUGGAACGACACUAUUUCUAUAGAUGGCACUGAGACAUCACGUGAUCCAUACCCAUGCUUACCGACAACGUCACAGCCGGAUGGAAUUUACGUUAACAAAAGUUUAUCCUUGAGACGAUUCGGCAAAGCCAAGGUAUUCAUUAAAUGUUCAUCUUUGAGGCGAAUUAUUUUAGAUGGCAGUAACACAUCAGACACCGUAACUAUUUACCUGGAUGGACUCACAUUUAUUGAUAGCUGUAUUGCUGUUCGGAUGAGCACGCUCAAUGUCGUAAAUUGCAAUUUUAUAGAUGCUACAUCUCUCUCAAACGCAGCAGCCGUUGUUGAUUUUAAGACGUUCGAUGGGAACCAUUCUCUGCUAAUAGCCAAAUCUGUUUUUAGCAACAAUUCUCUUCCUUGUAUCAGUGUCGUUGGGAAUAACCUCAAAAUAGAAGUUUAUGAUACAGUGUUUACUGGAAAUAACGCAUCGGAAAGUAAAGUGAGAAUGGUGGAUGUGGCCGUGUUCAUGAUUUCGGUAAUACGUAUGAUGAGGUAUCCCUCGUCUAUGACAUUUAACAACGUCUCUUUCAUAAGAAACUUUGCGCUCAACGGAGGAUGUUUGCAUGUCAAAAAUGCCGAUAAUGUGAACGCAAGUGCGAGGUAUUUCAACCGAAACAGAGCAAACUAUAAGGACUUGGGCCAUAUUUUGCAAGCGCAUCCUAAGGAUCACAACUCUUUUCAUUCAACGUUGGAAUACAUUUCCGUGUCUGUGAGUGAAGGAAUGUUUCUUCAUAAUUUUGGGGGAGCAAUCAUUGUUGGCGGGAAUUUAGGCCUCGUUGACAUUUCUGUCGUAAAUUGUGACUUUAUCAAUAAUAGUUCUCCGCUAAGUGGAGGAGCCAUGCUGGUUGAGAGUAGCCGUGAAUUUCGCUUACAGAUUAAAGACUGCAAAUUUGUACAAAAUAGCGCCAGAAAUGAGGGCUCAGCGAUAUACAUCCUAGCGGUUGAUUUUAAAGUAGCUAAAGGUUUUCUCCUAGUCGAAAAUGUUUCGUUUCAAAGAAACAUACUUCGACAACCUAAUUUUAUCGAGGAUGUUCCUUUGGGUGGUACUCUAACAAUUUGCGUAGAGUCAGCUUACCUUCAAGUAAACUUAGUUAAUGUUUCCUUUUGGCAUAAUAAGGUUGACAUGGGAAGUUCAACGUUACACUUGGAUGCUCGAAAUUCAGAGGUAACGAUUGUCGAUUGUAAUUUCCAUGGAAACUCACAGGAUGAGCGUUUCCCGUGCGGCUGGACGACCAUUUUAAUUUUCUCCAUUCAACUAAAGUUCACCCUGAACAGAACGAGCUUUUCCGAAAAUAUUGGAAGUCUUACAGCUGAUAAUAACACAUUGGCAGGACAGCCGGUAAAUUUCUUCGUGGGCGCAAGUUACGUAGCAAAUAUAACCAUAAGUGGCUUGUUGUACAGAAACAAUAGUGGAGGAGGAAUGCUCUUUAAACUGGGCUCAAAUGAUGUAAGUAGCUCGACAUUUUCCCUUGGGCAAUCGAUCUUUGAAAGCAACAAAUUUUUCUCCAUGGAGAUUAGGGCGUCUACAGGUGCCCAACUGGUAAUAAGACAAGUAAAUUUCACGGCAAACAAGUUUGAAAGUUCUGUCCUCCAAAGCUUGGCAUUGUUGUUCUUCUAUAUUCAAAAUCAGGGAAGUAAGGUAAAGAUUGAGGAGGCAACCUUUAAAUACAAUAGUAUACAGGGUAGGAUCUUACUGUUUCGAUUACCACCCGACCAGAAAGAUCCACUUUCAUGUAAAAUUCCAAGAUGGAUCUACAGAAACUACAUCCAACUCUUUAACGCUACUUUUGACGGAAAUAGCGCCGAUACCUCGGUUGUGCGUUUAGAAAACGGCCACAAUAACCUCAGCAACUCUCAAUUUGUAGACAAUUUAGCCAUAUACACUCUUUUUGCUUCAGAAGGGUCCACCAGUCUUGAGUUGGUCGACACAUCUUUUGAUCAGACGAAGAAUUGGCAAAAUGGACUGGCAGUCCAUAUAGCAGUUAUGGUUCCUUCCUUUACAGGAUUCAUUUACUGGGCAAGUUCAGGACCAAUCCAACUAAGUAACACUACUCUCUCGGUUGAGUCCUCUCAGGACAUCGAUGCUUAUUUUAUGGUCACGGGAGCAAGUGAAGCAAAGAUUGAUGAUACAUCGGUCAUUCAGUGUCCAGUUGGAACUUUGAGAAAAAAGGUUCUGUGAUCACAACAAGGAAAAUAUCGCCGUAACGCAGCGAAGGAAAGAUUUGCAAUUACUGUUCAAAUUAGAAUCGGAAUGAAGAUUGGUUGAGUCCAGUCUACAUUAAAAGGAUCAUCUAACGGUAUCACUUUCCUCCUCUUGAGUCUCGUGUUACGUUUGGACAACAAGGAUCUUCAGGUCUUCUGCUGAGAACAACAGGAAAAUUCGAAACACCACAGAAGCGUGUCUGACAGAAACAUUGCUUCUAUUUGCCUCUCG